rnacentral:lncRNA from 1 species
UUGGAUAUCGUAGUGAUGAAUUGGCCAGUUGAAGCAUCAUUGUUGUGGGUGCUAAUGUCUUAUGGGUUAAUUUGUCAUAGAUGGAUUUGGGCAUGACACUCACACUAGCUCUUAGAUCGCACAAGGCUUGGUUAAAGUAUUGGGUUCCGAUGGAGCAGGAGAUCAUAGGGCAUCCAGGGUCCUUUUUUUCUCAGGGUAGUCAAGUAUAGCUGCGCUGCACACUUCUGUCAGUUGUACGACUGCUGUGGAUGUUGGUAUUUUUAAGGCGCGGAUAGAUAAGAUCCGCAAGCGCACGGAUACCGUUGUAGCUUUCACCUAGAGGGUUUUAUAUAUCGUAUCCAUAGGGAAACGUGUGAAUCAACUACGAGUUCUAACUUAACCGAAAAGGGUGAGUGAAAAAGAUAUAAACUAUACUAUGGAUAAAAUCUAAGUGGUACCAAGAUAAAAGGUAAAGGAAGAUCAAUCUAGUAUGGGUUCGAUAAUAGGAGUAUAGAGAGGAUAACUCAAUCAUGGGUUUCUACUUCUAACUUGGGU